CUCGUGCACAGGUCAGGCUAACGCAAUCAGUAUCACCUGCUCCGCCAUUUGACUGCCUCAUCAGUCAAACGGCUUCAGCUGGACCAGAAGCGGAGUUACGGCGUUGAAUCCCCAAGAACACCAGCACGGCGCUCAUUUGGGACUAUUUACAGCAACCACUUUAGACCGACACCUGAAAAAUCAGCACAGGUAUUCGCAUGAUGGAAAAGUUCCGCUGAAAAGUGGGAAAAUGAGGCUCAGGCCCGAAGAAGCGAACAGACGAUUCCUGCAUGUUUGACCAGCGUCACUCCGGAUGAUAAGAGCAGCGGAACACACCGGGAGCUAACGACGGCCAGAACGCACUACACUGCCGAGGACACGCUGACUGUUAACGCGGUCACCGAAGACGGAUUUAAAAUCCUCCUCCACACGCUGGACACAAGAUCUGUCAUUCCCUGUGGUGCUUGAACUUUACUGCUGUACACAGCUUCAUUCGUUAAAACAGAAGCGUAUCUUUUCAGACUGAAAUAGGACACUGAUGAUUCGAUCAAGUGUGUACAACACCAAUUCAAACUCAUUGAUUAUCUGCCUGACACAUUUCAGACUGUCAGAACUACGAUUCACGUCUGAUUCUAUUAUGAAUUAAAGGGAAAAACGGAGCUGCUCACGUACUGAAGAACGUUUGUUCCGACGGAGGAAACCUUCUCACGUGUUGGACAGACCACGUCCCUGCUGACGUCCAGGUCUGAUGUGAAUUCGGGACUCACAUUGAAAGGUCUGAUACGGACACUUG